GACGAACGCUGGCGGCGUGCCUAAUACAUGCAAGUUGAGCGCUGACGGUUGGUACUUGUACCGACUGGAUGAGCAGCGAACGGGUGAGUAACGCGUGGGGAAUCUGCCUUUGAGCGGGGGACAACAUUUGGAAACGAAUGCUAAUACCGCAUAAAAACUUUAAACACAAGUUUUAAGUUUGAAAGAUGCAAUUGCAUCACUCCAAGAUGAUCCCGCGUUGUAUUAGCUAGUUGGUGAGGUAAAGGCUCACCAAGGCGAUGAUACAUAGCCGACCUGAGAGGGUGAUCGGCCACAUUGGGACUGAGACACGGCCCAAACUCCUACGGGAGGCAGCAGUAGGGAAUCUGCGGCAAUGGACGAAAGUCGGACCGAGCAACGCCGCGUGAGUGAAGAAGGUUUUCGGAUCGUAAAACUCUGUUGGUAGAGAAGAACGAUGGUGAGAGUGGAAAGCUCAUCAAGUGACGGUAACUACCCAGAAAGGGACGGCUAACUACGUG
rnacentral:rRNA from 1 species